GGUAACUUGGUAGUUAAAGAAGUGCUAUAAAGAUUAGAGAGAUUUUUUAAUAAAAGUAUUGGUAAAAAGUUGGUAAAAAUAAGAUGAGAAAAAUGGAAAAAAUAAAAAUGAGAAUUUAUUAACAGAAGUUCUUUUUGUAUCAUGAUUUAUAGAGAUAAUAGAUAUUUUUUUGUUCCCGAAAAUUUUAGAGCUACUACACUUCAGGUGUUUGUUUCAAAAAAUACUAAAAAGGUUUGGUAGAAGUUAUAUGCUAUAUCGAAAAGGUUGAUAGCUGGUUAAAGGGAAAAUAUAUUAAAGUAUAGAGGUAAAAAAAUAAUAAAGUAAUUAUUUUUUACUAUUAAGAUUUAUUAGGUUAAGCUUAUAAAUAGGUGGAGGAAGAGAGAGAAUAAGAUAGGAUUUAUAUUGUCCAUUCAUAAAAAGUUAAUAAUAAAGUAAUCGUGAAAAAAAGUUAGUUUAGUACCCUUUAGUUUAUAUUAACCAAAUAUAAAGUUAUAAGUAUAGGAUUAGUAGUUGGUGGAUGGAAGAAAAAAAGGUGGGUACCACCUAAGGAAAUUUUUAUCGCUAUUUAGUAAAAAGUGAGAAAAAAAGAAUAAGGAGAAUUUCUUUAAAGGAACUCGACAAAUAUGGUCUGUGCCUGUUUAACAAAAACAUCGCUUUUUGAUUUUUUAGUAUAAAAAGUCGGGCCUGCCCGGUGAGCUAUAUUAAACGGCUGCGACGAGAGUCGUACAAAGGUAGCGCGAUAAUUUGUCUCUUAAUUGGAGAAUGGUAUGAAAGGUUUGUCGCAGACUGGUUGUCUCUGAAGAAAUAGAUGAAGUUUCCUUUUAAAUGAAAAGGUUUAAAUUUUUGUAAAAGACGAGAAGACCCUGCCGAGCUGAAUUAAGUUGGAAAUUCUUAGGUACGAAGUACUGAGUUUCUAACUAAAAUGUAGUUGGGGAGAGCUAAGCUUAAAAGAAUAGGUUUAAUUAUUAGACACAGAUCCUCUCAGAGAGAAAGUUGGUAAAAGCUACCGCAGGGAUAACAGCGUAAUUUUUCUUGAGAGAUCGUAUUGAGGGAAAAGUUUGCGACCUCGAUGUUGGAUUAGGAAAACUUCUUGGUGCAGCAGCUAAGAGUGGUAAGACUGUUCGUCUUUUAAAUUCUUACAUGAUCUGAGUUAAGACCGGCGUAAGCUAGGUUGGUUUCUAUCUUUAGUUAUUACUCCUAUUGUACGAAAGGAUCCAGGUGUUAAGUUUUGAAAAACUUUAUUGGUUAAUUAGAUUAACUUAAAAGAAA
rnacentral:rRNA from 1 species